AAAGAAAAUUCGAUUCCCUUAGUAGCGGCGAGCGAAACGGGAAGAGCCCAAACCAACAAGCUUGCUUGUUGGGGUUGUAGGACACUCUAUACGGAGUUACAAAGGACGACAUUAGACGAAUCAUCUGGAAAGAUGAAUCAAAGAAGGUAAUAAUCCUGUAGUCGAAAAUGUUGUCUCUCUUGAGUGGAUCCUGAGUACGACGGAACACGUGAAAUUCCGUCGGAAUCUGGGAGGACCAUCUCCUAAGGCUAAAUACUCUCUAGUGACCGAUAGUGAACCAGUACCGUGAGGGAAAGGUGAAAAGCACCCCGGAAGGGGAGUGAAAUAGAACCUGAAACCGUGUGCUUACAAGUAGUCAGAGCCCGUUAAUGGGUGAUGGCGUGCCUUUUGUAGAAUGAACCGGCGAGUUACGAUUUGAUGCAAGGUUAAGCAGUAAAUGUGGAGCCGUAGCGAAAGCGAGUCUGAAUAGGGCGUUUAGUAUUUGGUCGUAGACCCGAAACCAGGUGAUCUACCCUUGGUCAGGUUGAAGUUCAGGUAACACUGAAUGGAGGACCGAACCGACUUACGUUGAAAAGUGAGCGGAUGAACUGAGGGUAGCGGAGAAAUUCCAAUCGAACCUGGAGAUAGCUGGUUCUCUCCGAAAUAGCUUUAGGGCUAGCCUCAAGUGAUGAUUAUUGGAGGUAGAGCACUGUUUGGACGAGGGGCCCCUCUCGGGUUACCGAAUUCAGACAAACUCCGAAUGCCAAUUAAUUUAACUUGGGAGUCAGAACAUGGGUGAUAAGGUCCGUGUUCGAAAGGGAAACAGCCCAGACCACCAGCUAAGGUCCCAAAAUAUAUGUUAAGUGGAAAAGGAUGUGGCGUUGCCCAGACAACUAGGAUGUUGGCUUAGAAGCAGCCAUCAUUUAAAGAGUGCGUAAUAGCUCACUAGUCGAGUGACACUGCGCCGAAAAUGUACCGGGGCUAAACAUAUUACCGAAGCUGUGGAUUGUCCUUUGGACAAUGGUAGGAGAGCGUUCUAAGGGCGUUGAAGCAUGAUCGUAAGGACAUGUGGAGCGCUUAGAAGUGAGAAUGCCGGUGUGAGUAGCGAAAGACGGGUGAGAAUCCCGUCCACCGAUUGACUAAGGUUUCCAGAGGAAGGCUCGUCCGCUCUGGGUUAGUCGGGUCCUAAGCUGAGGCCGACAGGCGUAGGCGAUGGAUAACAGAUUGAUAUUCCUGUACCACCUAUAAUCGUUUUAAUCGAUGGGGGGACGCAGUAGGAUAGGCGAAGCGUGCGAUUGGAUUGCACGUCUAAGCAGUAAGGCUGAGUAUUAGGCAAAUCCGGUACUCGUUAAGGCUGAGCUGUGAUGGGGAGAAGACAUUGUGUCUUCGAGUCGUUGAUUUCACACUGCCGAGAAAAGCCUCUAGAUAGAAAAUAGGUGCCCGUACCGCAAACCGACACAGGUAGUCAAGAUGAGAAUUCUAAGGUGAGCGAGCGAACUCUCGUUAAGGAACUCGGCAAAAUGACCCCGUAACUUCGGGAGAAGGGGUGCUCUUUAGGGUUAACGCCCAGAAGAGCCGCAGUGAAUAGGCCCAAGCGACUGUUUAUCAAAAACACAGGUCUCUGCUAAACCGUAAGGUGAUGUAUAGGGGCUGACGCCUGCCCGGUGCUGGAAGGUUAAGAGGAGUGGUUAGCUUCUGCGAAGCUACGAAUCGAAGCCCCAGUAAACGGCGGCCGUAACUAUAACGGUCCUAAGGUAGCGAAAUUCCUUGUCGGGUAAGUUCCGACCCGCACGAAAGGCGUAACGAUUUGGGCACUGUCUCAACGAGAGACUCGGUGAAAUCAUAGUACCUGUGAAGAUGCAGGUUACCCGCGACAGGACGGAAAGACCCCGUGGAGCUUUACUGUAGCCUGAUAUUGAAAUUCGGCACAGCUUGUACAGGAUAGGUAGGAGCCUUUGAAACGUGAGCGCUAGCUUACGUGGAGGCGCUGGUGGGAUACUACCCUAGCUGUGUUGGCUUUCUAACCCGCACCACUUAUCGUGGUGGGAGACAGUGUCAGGCGGGCAGUUUGACUGGGGCGGUCGCCUCCUAAAAGGUAACGGAGGCGCUCAAAGGUUCCCUCAGAAUGGUUGGAAAUCAUUCAUAGAGUGUAAAGGCAUAAGGGAGCUUGACUGCGAGACCUACAAGUCGAGCAGGGUCGAAAGACGGACUUAGUGAUCCGGUGGUUCCGCAUGGAAGGGCCAUCGCUCAACGGAUAAAAGCUACCCCGGGGAUAACAGGCUUAUCUCCCCCAAGAGUUCACAUCGACGGGGAGGUUUGGCACCUCGAUGUCGGCUCAUCGCAUCCUGGGGCUGUAGUCGGUCCCAAGGGUUGGGCUGUUCGCCCAUUAAAGCGGUACGCGAGCUGGGUUCAGAACGUCGUGAGACAGUUCGGUCCCUAUCCGUCGUGGGCGUAGGAAAUUUGAGAGGAGCUGUCCUUAGUACGAGAGGACCGGGAUGGACAUACCUCUGGUGUACCAGUUGUCGUGCCAACGGCAUAGCUGGGUAGCUAUGUGUGGACGGGAUAAGUGCUGAAAGCAUCUAAGCAUGAAGCCCCCCUCAAGAUGAGAUUUCCCAACUUCGGUUAUAAGAUCCCUCAAAGAUGAUGAGGUUAAUAGGUUCGAGGUGGAAGCAUGGUGACAUGUGGAGCUGACGAAUACUAAUCGAUCGAAGACUUAAUCAA
rnacentral:rRNA from 1 species